rnacentral:rRNA from 4 species
GGCCGGUAUGAAUGGCGUCACGAAGGCCCCACUGUCUUAAGAGGACUCUCCAUGAAAUUGAAUUCGUAGUGAAGAUGCUACGUCCAUAUUGUAAGACGAAAAGACCCCAUUGAGCUUUACUAAAGACUUGCAUGGCUCAAAAUAAUUUGACUUAAAUAAAGAGUUUAGAUAAUGUGGGACCCGUUUUCGGUUAAUGAAACACCACUCUUUUAUUUUAAGAGAGCUAACAUUACAGGGAUAGUGUAAGUUGGAUAGUUUGGUUGGGGCGACCACCUUUUAAAAGGUAACGAAGGUGAGCUUAAGGUCCGUAGUUAAUAGCCGGUGGCCUGACUGCAAGGGGGACGUCUCGAGCAGACACGUCCUUAGGGAUGUGGACUAUAGUGACCCGUCAUC